rnacentral:sRNA from 1 species
UGCGUAUGGGCUGCACAGGUCCGCCUCGC